rnacentral:rRNA from 1 species
AUGCGAACGGACGCCGAGGAGAGGGGUCGAGGGCCGAUACAGGCAGCCUACAGACGGGCCGACGCCAGGACAAACUGGCCGCCGCCACAACCAACCUGCCACCACCACAGCAGCCGCUGGGCCCGCACCCCCGCAGCCACCGCCACUGCGCCGCCACCCCGACCAGCCGAGGGGGCCACGGUCAGGGCCGCGGCCCGCAGCCCUAGCCUUCGCGGCCCGCGCCGCCGUGAGGUCAGAUCUGAACGAGCCGACGCGGCCGUCGUCUCCAACCUCCGGCCCGCACCACCACCACCAACUGCCGCGAAGCCGCCACCACCUGCCGCGUCCACGACAGAGAUGGCCACCAGCAGCCCGAGCCACCCGCAGCCCGCGCCGUCUUGA